CAUCACACUAGUUCUCAAAGAACAAAACAAUGCUCCCUAUUUAUUAAAUUACUCCACCACCUACACGUCUCUCACUCUCAAAUUUUAUCUCAAAACAGCAACUUCCUCACUCUCUAAAAUUCACCAAAAUAUUAGAAGCAGAGUUCCCAUCUUCUUCCUCUCCUUCAAUCUCACUCUCCCUUUCUGUCUGUCAUCUUCUACAAUUCACCAAGAUAGAAACGAUCCCAACUCCCAACGAACUAAGAUUGGAAGAGAAAACAAGAAAACAAGCUCUAAUGAUAUUAAAGUUUGCAACUUUAUCAUUCAAAAUUUCCAGAAAUUCAACAAGAGUCUACUCGAUUUCGUGAACUACUAUGAGGAAUUGAAUGCAGAUACUACCAGGGACUGUGUAGAUAGCUUCCAGAAGAGGCAAAACUUGCAGAAGAGGAGAAACCAAUACCUCGAGUCCAACAGAGUGUGCCAUAUCUUGAGUUGCUGUGUUGCUGGCCACCUCAUCCAGUGGGAUCGAAGAGGGAAUUGCUAAUCGAGACAAAAUGCUGUUGGGUCCAAUCAGAGAAAAUUGUGGGCGUGCAAUUUGAAACCAAAAGGACAAAAUUGCAGUGAUCAUGAGUUCACGCAAAUCACUUUGAGUAGAAGUAUUAUCCACAACCACAUAGACAAGGUGAAACCAGAAACCACAUAUAGGCAUGUGGGAAGACGAUUUGAAAGAUGACAUCGAGAUAGCACUUUUGUCAUGUUUUCUAAGAAAUAGUCAUCUGUUUCUCAUAUCCUGGUUCAACUACUUAACAGGAAGAUAAAAUAACAUG